rnacentral:rRNA from 1 species
UUGAGUUCGAUCCUGGCUCAGGAUGAACGCUGGCGGCGUGCUUAACACAUGCAAGUCGAACGGAGAUAUCAUUUUCGAAGCGAUUAGUUUACUAAGAGUGGAGAUGUUGGUAUCUUAGUGGCGGACGGGUGAGUAACGCGUGGGUAACCUGCCUUACACUGGGGGAUAACACUUAGAAAUAGGUGCUAAUACCGCAUAACAGGGAAAGAUGCAUGUCUUUUCCUUGAAAACUCCGGUGGUGUAAGAUGGACCCGCGUCUGAUUAGCUGGUUGGCGGGGUAACGGCCCACCAAGGCGACGAUCAGUAGCCGGCCUGAGAGGGUGAACGGCCACAUUGGGACUGAGACACGGCCCAAACUCCUACGGGAGGCAGCAGUGGGGAAUAUUGGACAAUGGGGGGAACCCUGAUCCAGCGACGCCGCGUGAGUGAAGAAGUAUUUCGGUAUGUAAAGCUCUAUCAGCAGGGAAGAAAGAAAUGACGGUACCUGACUAAGAAGCCCCGGCUAACUACGUGCCAGCAGCCGCGGUAAUACGUAGGGGGCAAGCGUUAUCCGGAUUUACUGGGUGUAAAGGGAGCGUAGACGGCGAUGCAAGUCUGAAGUGAAAGGCGGGGGCCCAACCCCCGGACUGCUUUGGAAACUGUAUAGCUGGAGUGCAGGAGAGGUAAGUGGAAUUCCUAGUGUAGCG